UGUGUGCAUGUGCAAGGAUCCUCAGAAGUCAAACGAAGGUAUAGUAAUAAUCCCAACUAAUAAGCCACUGAGUGUUGAGAGUGCAGUGAGCUGUUCUGUAGGAGCCUGAGAGAUAAGAAUUUUUAAAUCAGGGCAGAUGAUGAAGGCCUGGCUUUUGAAGUUUCAGAGGGAAGCAAAGACUCUAUCAGGCCUAUUGUGUGAAAAAUCUGUAGCAUCUGGUCAGCUGGGGCUGAAGAAUCAGCUGUGAUUAACAGGAGACCAGAAGUGCUAAAUUAAAACCUUUGCUUUAGUGGGACAAUCUGUACUUGUCAGCUGGAGCUAAAGGAGCUGUGAUUAAGAAGAUACCAGCAUCACUGAGGUGAAAUCUUCUGGGAAGUGGUUCCCUAGGGUCAGCACACAGAAACUGUGCUCCAGAAGUGGCCAAGUUUGUACCUCCUGUUGGCAGCCAAACCUGGUCAUGUGAGAGUCACCCAAAUGGUACUGGUUUUGAAGGCAUGAAGAGGUCAGGGAGAACAGCUGAAAUUUACAUUGUGUGGCAGAGCUGGAGUUUCUGAAGAGAGACCAGGAGAGGUUAUUGGUGAAAGUGUAGCCUACUUGCAGCAGAAGACCCCAGGAUUUUGGAGAUGUCUGUAAGGACAGCAGUAGGUAUGGAGUGGAGCCACACUGAGCCUACAAGACAAGCUGUGUGUGACAUGGAGGGCAGAGCCAGAGAAGUGACCCUUUGGAGGGGCCCAAAAGAUGGAGGUCACAAUUGAGAGACUUUGGAUUUUAAAAGAGACUGACUAUUUUAAAGAGACUGAAUUUUACGUGUUUGAAUUUUAAAAACUGGGAGAUUUUUAAUUUGGGGUGCUAAUAUUGUUAGUAUUGUAAUGUUGAUGAUAAUGUGUUAUCUUGGGGAAGAAAGAAAAGGGUAUGGUUUAACAAU